rnacentral:rRNA from 1 species
AACGAACGCUGGCGGCAUGCCUAACACAUGCAAGUCGAACGAGACCUUCGGGUCUAGUGGCGCACGGGUGCGUAACGCGUGGGAACCUGCCCUUAGGUUCGGAAUAACUCCCCGAAAGGGGUGCUAAUACCGGAUAAUGUCUUCGGACCAAAGAUCUAUCGCCUUUGGAUGGGCCCGCGUUGGAUUAGCUAGUUGGUAGGGUAAAAGCCUACCAAGGCGACGAUCCAUAGCUGGUCUGAGAGGAUGAUCAGCCACACUGGGACUGAGACACGGCCCAGACUCCUACGGGAGGCAGCAGUAGGGAAUAUUAGACCAUGAGCGAAAGCCUGAACCAGCAAUACCGCGUGAGUAAUGAAGGCCUUAGGGUUGUAAAGCUCUUUUACCCGGGAUGAUAAUGACAGUACCGGGAGAAUAAGCUCCGGCUAACUCCGUG